GUGCUAAAAAUACAAGCAUACACUGCCAUGCCCAGUUUCAUUCAGUUAUUGAUUAUUUGACUAAUUUAUUCAAAAGCUGUUUACUGCCUGGUAUAAUAGCUUGUGGGGCAAGUGAAACCAUGCCACCAGACAAAAACUGGAGAGGUUGAGCAGUUUCAGAAAUCAGUAUUUCUCGUAUCUGAGAAGAGUAAGUGUUUCAUCUAAUUCCAACCCAGAUUCUGUCCUGGGACACUAGAACACAACACCCCACAUGAGGAUCAUGACCACUAGUCACAUAACACAGAGUUCUUCAUGCCAAUGAGGUAUCUAAAUGCACCUGCCUGAGGGUUUAGCCAAUAAGCUUCCUUUCCUGAACAUUCCUACCUGUAAAAGGUAUUUUAAUCUCUGGUUCACCCUGAGUAAGUCAUAUGUACUUAUUUUCCAUGAUGAACAAUGAGUAGUUUUGCUCAUCAAGAACCAUCAUGGGGGGAAGCCUUCAUCAUACAGAGCCAUGCCACCUAAGUCUCCUGCAGAAGGCCCCUUUACCCUCCAGACACAGACAAUCACCCCUGAGCCAAGCCAGACUUACCCCUCACAGUAGCUGUGGGGUUGUUGCCCAUGGGCCCUCAUUCCCAACUCCAUGCAGUUCCCAGUGGCAACUGGACCCCUGGGAGCUUGGGAACCCCUUCCUCUUUGACCUCAGCCUGAACCAUUUCUCACCUGAGCUGGUUUCCCCGUCUUAGGCUGUGUUCUGUCACCCCUUUACCCCAGUGUUGGAGAGGAUGGAAUGCAGCCUAGCACCCUCCUGUUUCAUCUGCCUGAACAGCAUUCACACACCCCAACAGAAUGUAGAACCAAAAUAGGUCAUAUCUGUAAUCCCUGAACUCAGAAAGCCAACAAAGGAAGAUUGUCACAUGUUCGAGGCAAAUCUGGGCUACACAAUGAGUUCAAAGUUACUGUGAAGUCCAGUUUGAGACCAUAUCUUAAAACAAAGAAGAAUGGGUUCAUUAGGGCCAAGGGUUCACAAGUGUGAAAAAUGUUCCUAAUAGAGCUUUAUGUUAUGGAAAGACCAUUGUAAUAAUUAAUAAUAAUAAAAAUAGUAAUAGC
rnacentral:lncRNA from 1 species